GAUGAAGAACGUAGCGAAAUGCGAUAAGUAAUGUGAAUUGCAGAAUUCAGUGAAUCAUCGAAUCUUUGAACGCACCUUGCACCCUUUGGCAUUCCGAAGGGUAUGCUCGUUUGAGUGUCAUUGUACUCUCACACUCCCAAUUGCUUUGGAUUGGGAGCGGUGGACUUGGGUGUUGCUGCUUGACUGAGGCUCACCUGGAAUAUGUUAGUGCACCUCUUGAUUGGACAUAGUACGGCGUGAUAAGUGUCUUCGCCGGCUCCUCGCAAAGAGGGUGGCCGAUCGGGAGCUCUGUUGCUUCAAACUGUCUUCGGACAAUCUUCUGGCGACUUGACCUCAAAUCGAGUAGGACUACCCGCUGAACUUAAGCAUAUCAAUAAGCGGAGGA
rnacentral:misc_RNA from 1 species